GGAUACAUGAACAAUACUUGUAAUCGAGCGAAAACAGCGGCUGCUCGUGCUGUCUAGAUUGUGGGGGUGUGUUUACUUUUUCUUUUUCUUUUCCUUUCUACAUUUUCUUUCUCAUCAACCAACGAGAAUAAUUUUCUCUCUACUUUUUCUUUUCCUUUCUAAUUUUUUCUUUCUCAUCAAUCAAUGAUAGUAUUUUUCUUUUUACUUUUUCUUUUC
rnacentral:misc_RNA from 1 species